rnacentral:rRNA from 1 species
GAUGAACGCUGGCGGCGUGUCUAAGGCAUGCAAGUCGAGCGAGUUUAUUUUGGUAGCAAUACCGAGAUAAAUUAGCGGCAAACGGGUGCGUAACACAUUGGUAAUCUGCCUCACAGUCGGGCAUAAUUCGCCGAAAGGUGAACUAAUUCCACGAUGGUCAUGCGGGGACAUAAGUCAUUCGCAUGUAAAGUCGCAAGACGCUGUGAGAGGAACCUAUGGCCUAUCAGCUUGUUGGUGAGGUAACGGCUCACCAAGGCUAUGACGGGUAGGGGAUGUGAGAGCAUGAUCCCCCUCACUGGGACUGAGACACUGCCCAGACACCUACGGGUGGCUGCAGUCGAGAAUAUUCGGCAAUGGGCGAAAGCCUGACCGAGCGACGCCGCGUGCAGGACGAAGGCCUUCGGGUCGUAAACUGCUUUUUUCAGGGAAGAACAUUGACGGUACCUGAAGAAUAAGAGGUUGCUAACUCUGUG